GUAACAGAACUAGCUUGCUAGUUGCUGACGAGUGGCGGACGGGUGAGUAAUACUUAGGGAUCUGCCUCUGUGUGGGGGAUAACUAUUGGAAACGAUAGCUAAUACCGCAUAACGUCUACGGACCAAAGAGGGCUUCGGCUCUCGCGCAGAGAGGAACCUAAGCGAGAUUAGCUUGUUGGUGAGGUAAAGGCUCACCAAGGCGACGAUCUCUAGCUGUUCUGAGAGGAAGAUCAGCCACACUGGAACUGAGACACGGUCCAGACUCCUACGGGAGGCAGCAGUGGGGAAUAUUGCACAAUGGGGGCAACCCUGAUGCAGCCAUGCCGCGUGUGUGAAGAAGGCCUUCGGGUUGUAAAGCACUUUCAGUUGUGAGGAAAGGUUAGUAGUUAAUACCUGCUAGCUGUGACGUUAACAACAGAAGAAGCACCGGCUAACUCCGUGCCAGCAGCCGCGGUAAUACGGAGGGUGCGAGCGUUAAUCGGAAUUACUGGGCGUAAAGCGCACGCAGGCGGUCUGUUAAGCUAGAUGUGAAAGCCCCGCGCUCAACGUGGGAGGGUCAUUUAGAACUGGCAGACUAGAGUCUUGGAGA
rnacentral:rRNA from 1 species